rnacentral:rRNA from 1 species
CGGUUGAUCCCGCCGGACCCUACUGCUAUCGGGGUGGGACUAAGACAUGCGAGUUGAGCGUCUCCAAGCCAUGGUGGAGACGCAGCAUACGGCUCAGUAACACGUGGCUAACCUACCCUUAGGACGGGGACAACCCCGGGAAACUGGGGCUAAUACCAGAUAGGUAAGGAGGCCUGGAACGGUUCUUAGUCAAAAAGGCGUUGAAACCAUGCUUUUCGACGUCGCCUAAGGAUGGGGCCGCGUCCGAUCAGGUUGUUGGUGGGGUAAUGGCUCACCAAGCCUAUAACCGGUACGGGCCGUGAGAGCGGGAGCCCGGAGAUGGGCACUGAGACAAGGGCCCAGGCCCUACGGGGCGCAGCAGUCGCGAAAACUCCGCAAUGCGCGCAAGCGUGACGGGGCUACCCCGAGUGCCGUCCGCUGAGGAUGGCUUUUCCCCGGUGUAAUGAGCCGGGGGAAUAAGGAGAGGGCAAGACUGGUGUCAGCCGCCGCGGUAAUACCAGCUCUCCGAGUG